GACGAACGCUGGCGGCGUGCUUAACACAUGCAAGUCGAACGGAAAGGCCCUGCUUUUGUGGGGUGCUCGAGUGGCGAACGGGUGAGUAACACGUGAGUAACCUGCCCUUGACUUUGGGAUAACUUCAGGAAACUGGGGCUAAUACCGGAUAGGAGCUCCUGCUGCAUGGUGGGGGUUGGAAAGUUUCGGCGGUUGGGGAUGGACUCGCGGCUUAUCAGCUUGUUGGUGGGGUAGUGGCUUACCAAGGCUUUGACGGGUAGCCGGCAUUAGAGGGUGACCGGCGACAUGGGUACUGAGAGACGGCGCAGACUGCUACGGGAGGCAGCAGUGGGGAACAUUGCACAAUGGGCGGAAGCCUGAUGCAGCAACGCCGCGUGCGGGAUGACGGCCUUCGGGUGGUAAACCGCUUUCGCCUGUGACGAAGCGUGAGUGACGGUAAUGGGUAAAGAAGCACCGGCUAACUACGUG
rnacentral:rRNA from 1 species